rnacentral:rRNA from 1 species
GACGAACGCUGGCGGCGUGCCUAAUACAUGCAAGUCGAACGCAGUGGGGACGGGUGAGUAACACGUGGGUAACCUCCCCUCAGAGGGGAUAACCCUUGGAAACAGUUGCUAAACCGAUCCUGAUGGAUGUACCCGCGGUGCAUUAGCUAGUUGGUGGGGUAACGGCUCACCAAGGCAACGAUGCAGAGACGAGCUGAGAGGGUGAUCUGCCACACUGGGACUGAGACACGGUCCAGACUACUACGGGAGGCAGCAGUGGGGAAUAGUGGACAAUGGGCGAAAGCCUGAUCCAGCCAUGCCGCGUGUGUGAAGAAGGUCUUCGGAUUGUAAAGCACGUUAAGUUGGGAGGCGUUACCAACAGAAUAAGCACCGGCUAACUUCGUGCCAGCAGCCGCGGUAAUAC